rnacentral:rRNA from 1 species
UGGGGAAUCUUGGACAAUGGGGGGCAACCCUGAUCCAGCCAUGCCGCGUGAGUGAUGAAGGCCUUAGGGUCGUAAAGCUCUUUCGCCUGUGAAGAUAAUGACGGUAGCAGGUAAAGAAACCCCGGCUAACUCCGUGCCAGCAGCCGCGGUAAUACGGAGGGGGUUAGCGUUGUUCGGAAUUACUGGGCGUAAAGCGCACGUAGGCGGACCAGAAAGUUGGGGGUGAAAUCCCGGGGGCUCAACCCCGGAACUGCCUCCAAAACUAUUGGUCUAGAGUUCGAGAGAGGUGAGUGGAAUUCCAAGUGUAGAGGUGAAAUUCGUAGAUAUUUGGAGGAACACCAGUGGCGAAGGCGGCUCACUGGCUCGAUACUGACGCUGAGGUGCGAAAGUGUGGGGAGCAAACAGGAUUAGAUACCCUGGUAGUCCACACCGUAAAACGAUGAAUGCCAGUCGUCGGGUAGCAUGCUAUUCGGUGACACACCUAACGGAUUAAGCAUUCC